AGUCCACUCCUCGCGCGCGACGUGCGUCCUGGGACCGCCCAAUCCCCGAGCCCUCACCCCUUCUUCCUCCUCUCUCCCACGUCAGCCGCCAUAGCAAGAACCGUAGCCCCCUUCCCUAGAUCCCCGUUGCCGCCGCCCCUCCCGCAUCUGCUCUCUCCUUCCUCUCUCUGUUGUCAGCCGCCGCUACAACUCCUCCCUUCCCCGUCUUUGUCCGUGCAGCCGACCAACUUAGCUCCGCCCGGCGAUCGCUGCCUCCCCAGUUCAUCAUCCCUCCCUUGCUGCUCUACUUUCACCAGGGACGGACGAAUCCAUGCACCCCCUCGCCUAGAACCGCUAGGUGAAGAAGAUGGACGAGCGCGAGGGUCGGAGGAGGCCACAAGGCGACGGAUCUAGCGCGGGAUUACGGGUUUCAAGACCCUCGUGGUUGACCUCCUCUUCGCUUCUUCCUCGUACUACUGCAUCCCUUCGGUUCUUCCCCUCUACAAUGUGAUGCAGAUUACUUGUGAUUUUCUGCAAAAUCAACUUGUCAAGGAGUGGUGUCAAUGGAAGCCGUGACAGUCAUUCUGGUGACAUAUGCACAUCAGGUCGGCACCGCUGUUGUCACUGGGCAGAAUGGAUGACUGGCCAUGGGCAGGCUCGGAGCCCUCUGCGAACAGGUUUGCAUGUUCAGUCAAUGGGAAAUUGGUAGCAACUUUCCUGCACUUUUUGGAUGCAUUGCUUUGAUAGUUUUGCUUGCGGUGCCUAAAUUACAGCCUGCCAAUGGCGUGGAGUUUAGGUGGCUAGCCCAUGCAUUGGGAAGAGUUUGGGCGGGUCGCGGUUGAUAUCGGACCUGUAAAUGAAGAAAUUUUCAUUGCAGUGGGCAUAAUUAAUGGUGUGGUGGGGCUUAGUUGCGCGCUCGUUGGUCUGCCCAGGGCGAAGGAGUUCACCGUGGUGGACAUGCCACUCCUGGAGCGGCUCUUCAUGUUCCUGCCGCCUAAUGUUGUGGUGGGGCUUAGGAUCGCUUGUGCUCCCAACCCGCGGGUGCUCGCCUACCUAGACACAAAGAGCUCGCAUGCUACAGAUUGGUGUCAGCAUCAUUGGGGCACAUCUCUCUGGUCUACAUCUCUCUUGCAACUUGAAAUUAUUCCAUCGACAUUGAUCCAACCAUCAUGUUCUCCUUUGUGAUUAGAAAACUAUCAAUGACUUGUGAUAAUAAUGUUGCUUUAGCUGUAGCUCAUUGCAGUCUCUAAAAAUUAUUCCAGUAAUCCCUCUUCUUCUCUUCUC